GCCAGACUCCUACGGGAGGCAGCAGUCGGGCCUCUUGCGCAAUGGCGGCCACUCUGACGCAGUGCCGCCGCGUCUAGGAAGAAGGUCUUCGGAUUGUAAACUAUUGUCGUUAGGGAAGAAAAAGGACAGUACCUAAGGAGGAAGCUCCGGCUAACUACGUGCCAGCAGCCGCGGUAAUACGUAGGGAGCGAGCGUUAUCCGGAUUUAUUGGGUGUAAAGGGUGCGUAGACGGGAAUUUAAGUUAGUUGUUAAAUCCCUCGGCUCAACUGAGGAACUGCAACUAAAACUGGAUUCCUUGAGUGCUGGAGAGGAAAGCGGAAUUCCUAGUGUAGCGGUGAAAUGCGUAGAUAUUAGGAGGAACACCAGUGGCGAAGGCGGCUUUCUGGACAGUAACUGACGUUGAGGCACGAAAGUGUGGGGAGCAAACAGGAUUAGAUACCCCGGUA
rnacentral:rRNA from 1 species